UACGAAGGGGGCUAGCGUUGUUCGGAAUUACUGGGCGUAAAGCGGGUGUAGGCGGAUCUUUAAGUCGGAGGUGAAAGCCCAGGGCUCAACCCUGGAAUUGCCUUCGAUACUGGAGAUCUGGAGUGUGGGAGAUGUGAGUGGAAUUCCGAGUGGAGAGGUGAAAUUCGUAGAUAUUCGGCGGAACACCUGAGGCGAAGGCGGCUCACUGGACCACUACUGACGCUGAGUCCCGAAAGCGUGGGGAGCAAACUGG
rnacentral:rRNA from 1 species